ACCUCAGCCUCCCGAGUAGCUGGGAGCGUAGGCACAGGCCACCCCAUCAGGCUAAUUUUUGUAUUUUUUGUAGAUAUGGGGUUUCGCUAUGUUGCCCAGGCUGGUCAUAAACCCUUGUCCUCUUUAGAGCGGAGAAACUGAGGGCCCUGGGGAUGUCUGGUUGGGUGGGGACGGGAUUGACCAGGAGAAAGGCCUGGCUCCAGUCCUUUGGCAGCCACUGGGCCCUCUGCUCCCAUGGGCACAGGAGACCCAGCCCGUGGCUGGGCUGCCCUGGGGGACGCGGCCCUGACGCUGCCUCCCGCCCCUCCCCCAGGCACUGAACCCCUACUAUGGGUUCCAGGCCUUCAGCAUCGCGCUGUGGCUGGCUGACCACUACUACUGGUACGCCCUGUGCAUCUUCCUCAUUUCCGCCAUCUCCAUCUGCCUGUCGCUGUACAAGACCAGAAAGCAAAGCCAGACUCUAAGGGACAUGGUCAAGCUGUCCAUGCGGGUGUGCGUGUGCCGGCCAGGGGGAGAGGAAGAGUGGGUGGACUCCAGUGAGCUAGUGCCCGGAGACUGCCUGGUGCUGCCCCAGGAGGGUGGGCUGAUGCCCUGUGAUGCUGCCCUGGUGGCUGGCGAGUGCAUGGUGAAUGAGAGCUCUCUGACAGGAGAGAGCAUUCCAGUGCUGAAGACGGCACUGCCGGAGGGGCUGGGGCCCUACUGUGCAGAGACACACCGGCGGCACACACUCUUCUGCGGGACCCUCAUCUUGCAGGCCCGGGCCUAUGUGGGACCGCACGUCCUGGCAGUGGUGACCCGCACAGGGUUCUGCACGGCAAAAGGGGGCCUGGUGAGCUCCAUCUUGCACCCCCGGCCCAUCAACUUCAAGUUCUAUAAACACAGCAUGAAGUUUGUGGCUGCCCUCUCUGUCCUGGCUCUCCUCGGCACCAUCUACAGCAUCUUCAUCCUCUACCGAAACCGGGUGCCUCUGAACGAGAUUGUGAUCCGGGCUCUCGACCUGGUGACCGUGGUGGUGCCACCUGCCCUGCCUGCUGCCAUGACCGUGUGCACGCUCUAUGCCCAGAGCCGACUGCGGAGACAGGGCAUUUUCUGCAUCCACCCACUGCGCAUCAACCUGGGGGGCAAGCUGCAGCUGGUGUGUUUCGACAAGGUGGGGCCGCAGGUGGGGUUGGUGCAGGGGAGCGGGACAGCCACAGGCGCCCCAGUGAGGCCUCCACACCCACGUUAUUCUCUCAGCAGCACCCACAGGAUGCCAGGUCCUGUCUAGGGAUGGAAACCCCCAGAGGAUCCACCCCCGCCCCCACCCCAUCCCACUCCUGCCCUCACUGGGCUCACGGUCUGGCAGAUGAAAUGUCUAGAAUCAUGUAUUCAUGUGUUCAAGAACUGGUGGGGGGCCGGGCGCGGUGGCUCACGUCUGUAAUCCCAGCACUUUGGGAGGCUGAGGCAGAUACAUCACCUGAGGUCAGGAGUUCAAGACCAGCCUGACCAACAUGGCAAAACCCCAUCUCCACUAAAAAUACAAAAGUUAGCCAGGCAUGAUGGCACGUGCUUGUAAUCCCAGCUACUCGGGAGGCUGAGGCAGGAGAAUCGCAGAGGUUGCAGUGAGCCAAGAUCGCGGCAUUGUACUCCAGCCUGGGUGACAGAGCAAAACUC
rnacentral:sRNA from 1 species